UACGGAAGGCAGCAGUGGGGAAUAUUGCACAAUGGGCGAAAGCCUGAUGCAGCUAUGCCGCGUGUAUGAAGAAGGCCUUAGGGUUGUAAAGUACUUUCAUCGGGGAGGAAAAACAAAACUAAUAAUUUUAUUUCUUGACGUUACCCGAAAAAGAAGCACCGGCUAACUCCGUGCCAGCAGCCGCGGUAAUACGGAGGGUGCUAGCGUUAAUCAGAAUUACUGGGCGUAAAGAGCACGUAGGUGGUUUUUUUAAAGUCAGAUGUGAAUCCCUGGGCUUAACCUGGAACUGCAUUUUGAAACUGAAAUACUAGAGUAUCGUAGAGGGAGGUAGAAUUCUAGGUGUAGCGGUGAAAUGCGUAGAUAUCUGGAGGAAUACCUGUGGCGAAAGCGGCCUCCUAAACGAAUACUGACACUGAGGUGCGAAAGCGUGGGGAGCGAAACAGGGAUUAGAUACC
rnacentral:rRNA from 1 species